ACCCUCUGCCACUCAUCUUAAAAAAAACAAAAAAUCUUCCAGGAAUUCUUGAUGGGCUUAUGUAGGAUGGCAUUUUUCUUUGAUGGUUUGAUUAUAACUAUAACUAUUUUUACAUUGUUUUCUUUUAGUUUGUGUCUGGAUCUUUUCUGCCACCAUUAUAGCUUUUUGUGGUCAAGUUAUUUGCUCAUUUCUCCAAUCUAUUUCUUGACUUUGAACUUUAUUUUAAAGUUUGGCUUUGUUCACCUGGAGGUAGGGAGCAACUGUCCUAAGAGUCAGGCUUUUUUAAGCUGCUGUCUUCUGAGUUAGUUCUGGGGUCUGCAAGUUUUCAGUGCUUUCAAGGUUGUGUGAUCCAAGGAGAGGUAUAUAGUCUCUAUUCUUCUGGUCUAUGCUUUUGCCCCUGCUCCUCUGCAGCCAUUGGCACUUGCAUCCCUCUUGGCCCUGGAACUGUGACCAGAUACUCUGCUCCCUAGUGACUGAAUAAAGCUGUAUUGGAGAGUAUAGAGAUUCUGUAGUUAGGAGACUAGGACUAUAGAGCAAAAGAGACGUCAUGAUGGCCUGAACUCAGGAUAGUUAUGGUAUGAGUUGAAUGAGCUCAAAAGAGGAAGAAGCUUAAAAAGAGUUUUGGCAAAAUAUAGUAGCAAGUAAUUUGUGAAAGAUGGUCAGGGAAAAUUAAAAAUCAAAAGUGACUUCUUUGUUGUGAACCUGGAUCUUGAAAUGAAUGAAACUUUAAACCAACCAGUACCCCUCUCUGCCCUAUAACUGCAAUCCAGCAUUGUAUGGGUAAUAGAGUUACCAGUCAGUUUCAGCUCUAUCCAGUGCCAACAAAGGAUCCCCAUCAUCUCCAGACUUGUCCAACCCUGUUAUCUUUUUCUGGGCUGAGAACUCAAAGCUACUGCAGCUGAUACCGCUGCUGCCACCACCACCAUCACCACUGUUGCAGCUUCUUCCAAGACUCAUUGUUGGUGCUGUUAUGGAUGUGUUCUGUGGGCUGGCCGCCACCUCAAUGUCACAGACUUCUGCUGACCUAUGUUGUUUUGGGCUUAAAAAAACCUCACCCUGAUCUUAUCUUUGGUCUGCUGCUCCAAAACUCAUCUUGAGGCAUUAUUUUAAGAAUGUUUUGGAGGAAGACUUUGCCUGUGUUGGUAAGUCUAAGCCACCAUGGUGGCUUUGCUAGACUAAACUUAAUUUCAGGCCCCUUCAGGUUGAAUAUUCUACAUCUAGUCAUGGCACAGGCCAAGAAACAGUUGUACCUUUAUCGGGUGAGCCCUUUAUGUUAAUUGUUAAAAGCCAAUCUUUGUGUCCAUUAGGGCACCUAGAAUUGUCAGAAAUGUUUGGCUGUCUGUGGGAGUCAGAAAGGCAAUGGCUCUAAAUCAGUUUUAUUUUCACUAAGCUACUAAUCUGAUUGGGUCUUGAGCCCUUAGAGCUAGAAGGAAUUUAGACUUAGAAUGUCACAGCUGGAAGGUUCUUGGGGAAAAGAGGACAUAGGAUGUCAUAGCUGGAAGGGUCCUCCUGAGAAGUUAUCAAUGCUGACUUCUCCAUUUCAUUGAGAAGGGAAAGAGUUCCAAAGAAAGAAAAUGAGUUGUGAACAAACAUUAACUGCUUACUAUGUAUGAGACACUAUUAAGCACUAGAGAGACAAAGGCGGUAAGAGUCCCUGCUCUCAAGGACCUCACAAUCUAAUAAGACGGUGUAUGAAUUAUGUGCAAGCAAAUUACAUAGAAGAUAAAUCUGAGAUAAUCCCAGUAAAUACAUAAGGAGAACUAAGGGAAAGCUUUUUGCAUGUAGUGCUACGUUAGCUGAGACAUGAAGGAAAUCAGGAAGCCAAGUGGUACAGAUGAGGAGGGAAAAAAUUCUAGAUGUGGGGAAAAAGUGAAGAUGUAUGCAGUUGAGAAUAAAUUGCUUAAAGUUAAACAGAACUGGAGCCUGGGUCACUCAAUCCUCCAUCCUCGUACUCUGCUCUGUACUAGAGCUUCUUAAACAUUCUCUGCUAUCUGCUAUCCCUUUUCACCCAAGAAAUGUUUACAUGAGUCCAGGUAUAUAGGUAUAAAUCAAACAUUUACUAAUGAGAAGUCAUAAUUUCAUGACCCGUACAUUUAUAAGAUCCCAUAUGUAUUGGAGUACAAACCACAGUUAAAAGAAGCCAGGCUCCAUACUAUGCUGCCCCACAUCUAAAUAGCUAGACUCCCCAUUUUUAUACCUUUCAUUCUAAACUUUGCCACCCAUGGAGUGCCUGGGAUAUACUGUGCUCUAUCAGAAAGCUGCCUGUUAUUGCCCACUCUGCAUCAGGCAGAAUGUUCAGCAGAUGAACAUCAUCCAAAUAGCCCCUUGUUGCUAGGAAAUGUCAACACAGUAAGAAAUAUCUGCCAUGGGGCUUGCAUUGUGACAUUGAUAUAAGAAGCCAACAGUUAUUUGACCUUUGCAAGAUGAGUGCUGAUCUAUGUGGGAGGCUGGGAGGAGAGGAGGAAGAGGAGGAAAACAGCUCGAGCUUGAAAGAUAUACUCAUCUUGUGCAAAAACAAUCUUUAAAAUCCAGUGAUCCCUUACUGAAGAAAGCCUCAGCACACAAGGCUGCACCAGAAUGCGUUGUUCAGUGCAGAGAAGGAUGGAUGUCUUGAUUCUCAUUCAUGUAUUAACGAAUCACCAUGUAUUAGUGAACAUGUUAUACCUCUGUUUCUAAUAAUGAGAAACAUCAAAUGGUCCCAA